CUACGGGAGGCAGCAGUGGGGAAUUUUGGACAAUGGGCGAAAGCCUGAUCCAGCAAUGCCGCGUGCAGGAUGAAGGCCUUAGGGUUGUAAACUGCUUUUGUACGGAACGAAACGGCUCCUUCUAAUACAAGGGGCUAAUGACGGUACCGUAAGAAUAAGCACCGGCUAACUACGUGCCAGCAGCCGCGGUAAUACGUAGGGUGCGAGCGUUAAUCGGAAUUACUGGGCGUAAAGCGUGCGCAGGCGGUUAUAUAAGACAGAUGUGAAAUCCCCGGGCUCAACCUGGGACCUGCAUUUGUGACUGUAUAGCUAGAGUACGGUAGAGGGGGAUGGAAUUCCGCGUGUAGCAGUGAAAUGCGUAGAUAUGCGGAGGAACACCGAUGGCGAAGGCAAUCCCCUGGACCUGUACUGACGCUCAUGCACGAAAGCGUGGGGAGCAAACAGGAUUAGAUACCCUGGU
rnacentral:rRNA from 1 species